UGCGUAGGCGGAAUAUUAAGUCAGUGGUGAAAUCCUGCGGCUCAACCGUAGAACUGCCAUUGAUACUGAUAUUCUUGAAUGUAGUUGAGGUAGGCGGAAUGUGUAAUGUAGCGGUGAAAUGCUUAGAUAUUACACAGAACACCGAUUGCGAAGGCAGCGUACUAAACUAUGAUUGACGCUGAGGCACGAAAGCGUGGGGAGCGAACAGGAUUAGAUACCCUGGUAGUCC
rnacentral:rRNA from 1 species